rnacentral:rRNA from 1 species
CCUAACACAUGCAAGUCGAACGAAGCGAGAGAGAGCUUGCUUUCUCAAGCGAGUGGCGAACGGGUGAGUAACGCGUGAGGAACCUGCCUCAAAGAGGGGGACAACAGUUGGAAACGACUGCUAAUACCGCAUAAGCCCACGGGUCGGCAUCGACCAGAGGGAAAAGGAGCAAUCCGCUUUGAGAUGGCCUCGCGUCCGAUUAGCUGGUUGGUGAGGUAACGGCCCACCAAGGCGACGAUCGGUAGCCGGACUGAGAGGUUGAACGGCCACAUUGGGACUGAGACACGGCCCAGACUCCUACGGGAGGCAGCAGUGGGGAAUAUUGCACAAUGGGGGAAACCCUGAUGCAGCGACGCCGCGUGGAGGAAGAAGGUCUUCGGAUUGUAAACUCCUGUUGUUGAGGAAGAUAAUGACGGUACUCAACAAGGAAGUGACGGCUAACUACGUGCCAGCAGCCGCGGUAAAACGUAGGUCACAAGCGUUGUCCGGAAUUACUGGGUGUAAAGGGAGCGCAGGCGGGAAGACAAGUUGGAAGUGAAAUCUAUGGGCUCAACCCAUAAACUGCUUUCAAAACUGUUUUUCUUGAGUAGUGCAGAGGUAGGCGGAAUUCCCGGUGUAGCGGUGGAAUGCGUA